rnacentral:rRNA from 1 species
GCAUAUCAAUAAGCGGAGGAAAAGAAACCAACAGGGAUUGCCUCAGUAACGGCGUAAGUGAAGCGGCAAAAGCUCAAAUUUUAAAGCUGGCACCUCCGGUGUCCGCGUUGUAAUUUUGUGAGGCAUCUCCGGGUGGGGCGCCGGCCUAAGUUCCUUGGAACAGGACGUCAUAGAGGGUGAGAAUCCCGUGCUUGGCUGGCUGUCCCCGUCCAUGUGAGGUGUCUUCGACGAGUCGAGUUGUUUGGGAAUGCAGCUCAAAAUGGGUGGUAAAUUUCAUCUAAAGCUAAAUAUUGGUGGGAGACCGAUAGCGCACAAGUAGAGUGAUCGAAAGAUGAAAAGCACUUUGAAAAUAGAGUUAAAAAGUACGUGAAAUUGUUGAAAGGGAAGCGCUUGAGACCAGACUUCGGUGGGGAGUGAUCAGCCGUCCUUCUGGGCGGUGCACUUGCCCCCCUCCGGGCCAGCAUCGGUUGGGACGGCGGGAUAAAGGUCCCGGGAAUGUGGCUCCUCUCGGGGAGUGUUAUAGCCCGGGUGAAUGCCGCCAGCCCCGACCGAGGACCGCGCCUUCGGGCUAGGAUGCUUGGCAUAAUGGUCUUCAGCGACCCGUCUUGAAACACGGACCAAGGAGUCUAACAUCUAUGCGAGUGUUUGGGUGUCAAACCCUUGCGCGAAAUGAAAGUGAACGGAGGUGGGAACCCGCAAGGGCGCACCAUCGACCGGUCCCGAAGUCUUCUGAAGGAUCUGAGUAGGAGCAUAGCUGUUGGGACCCGAAAGAUGGUGAACUAUGCCUGAAUAGGGUGAAGCCAGAGGAAACUCUGGUGGAGGCUCGCAGCGGUUCUGACGUGCAAAUCGAUCGUCAAAUUUGGGUAUAGGGGGCGAAAGACUAAUCGAACCAUCUAGUAGCUGGGUUCCUGCCGAA